rnacentral:misc_RNA from 1 species
GAUGAAGAACGCAGCGAAAUGCGAUACUUGGUGUGAAUUGCAGAAUCCCGUGAACCAUCGAGUCUUUGAACGCAAGUUGCGCCCGAAGCCAUCAGGUUGAGGGCACGUCUGCCUGGGCGUCACAUAUCGUUGCUCGAUGCCUAUCGCAUUGCGAUAGGACUUAGGGCGAAUGAUGGCUUCCCGUGAGCGUUGUUGCCUCGCGGUUGGUUGAAAAUCGAGUCCUUGGUAGGGUGUGCCAUGAUAGAUGGUGGUCGAGUUAGAACGAGACCGAUCAUGUGCAUGCUCCCCAAAAUAUGGCCUCUGUGACCCACACGCGUCUUUUGACGCUCAUGAUGAGACCUCAGGUCAGGCGGGGCUACCCGCUGAAUUUAAGCAUAUCAAUAAGCGGAGGA